CGUGAGCGGCGGACGGGUGAGUAACGCGUGGGUAACCUGCCUCAUACAGGGGAGUAACAGUUGGAAACGGCUGCUAAUACCGCAUAAGCGCACAGUACCGCAUGGUACGGUGUGAAAAACUCCGGUGGUAUGAGAUGGACCCGCGUCUGAUUAGGUAGUUGGUGGGGUAACGGCCUACCAAGCCGACGAUCAGUAGCCGACCUGAGAGGGUGACCGGCCACAUUGGGACUGAGACACGGCCCAA
rnacentral:rRNA from 1 species